GACCCCAAAGUUCCAAAGCGAGGCAGGGGUCGAGCUGGUGCUCUAACCAGGCCUUAUGAUGCCGACUAAGCCCUGUGGCACACCGUCCUCGCUGCUGUUCCUUGGAGGUGGAGUUUAGGUCUCUGAUCAGGAAUACAGUGUCACAAACUAAGGGCUCCAUGGUUUUCUUCUCCAUGUUACCGGUGAAGAAACUGAGGCCCCGAAAGUCAUUUGGUUAAAUAGUUAUAGAGGUGACUUUUCAACAAGUAACACCGAGGACUUGAAGCCAUCCCUCUCUGCGCUGCAUGACAGAUACAGGUGACCCUCACACAACCUGAACCAAUAAAAUGGGCAAUUCCACAGAAGAGUGAAGCCUUCUUCCAGAAUAGAGGCCCUGAGCUCCUUCUUCAUGCCAGGUAAUGAGACCGGGUGCUAGACUAGGUCCUUCGGCCAAGGAACCGACAAUCUACUGGGGUCAAGGGGGUGACGUACACCUGUACACAGAGAAGCGAACAAGCACGAGACAGGAAGAAAAUACUAGCAGUGAGGAGAACCAGAGGUGUCACGUGAGCUGAACCUAGAAGGAAGAUAGAAACUCAUAGGUCUGCUGCGUUCAGAUUGGACACUUCAUCAGAGCCUGUGUGUGUUGUGUGACCUUUUGUCUUCUAUUCAGGACCUAGGCGGAGAGGCGCUGCUUGGCUUUGGAAGCCCUGACUUUGGGAGCCACCUCUCCCGGGCUGAGAGAUUGUUGCCCGCAGCUCCACGGGAAGGGCCUGAAGGACCCUGGGCGGCGGAGCAAGGCCGGGCGUCUGAAGCGCCCUGAAAUUCGAAUGGAGAGGUCCUCGGGAGGGAGUUCUAAAUGAGGGUGCUGAAAACGGUGAUGGCGCUCAAUAAAAGCUUUGACAACUGAUGGCUACUGGGGGGAAGGGGAGGAGCGGCGGCUGCUGGAAGACAUUGCUCCGGCGUGCUUGGGCCCCGAGGAGGGCAUUCUCGGGAGCUAGAAUCCUGCCCCGGAGGAUCCGCGCCCCACGGCUGGCCAACGGAGUCUCUGAGAGUCCUCGUGCUCAACCUCCCUCCCCCCCCCCCCCCAGCUCUGAAGGCAAGCUUUCGUGCCCCUUACGAUCAAUUCCCGUCCUAUUAAGUCCGGUCAAAGAAUGAAUGAACAAACUUCCUAGUGUGGAGACGGGACAUCCCCCGGAGCUCAGGCAAGUGGCUUGGGGUCAUUAUGAACCAAGUCCGAAGUUCAAAGCCCCGGAUUUAGCGACUCAAACAAUUGGCAUGGGAGGGUCGGGAGUGCGGAAGGCCCCGAGCUGGGCCCCAAAGUAGCUGAACAAGAGAAUUUACCCAGAAUGGGGGUGCCCUCUUCAGAGAACUCUGAACCCAAAACCCUCGGAGAAAAUAUUUAAUUUAGCAUUUUCCCCCCGGAUAGAUUGGAGGAAAGUGAUCUCUUUGGUAAUGGGAAAUGAGAAGAGAAAGCUGGCACUUCCUAGCAUGGGCUAGAGCCAUUUCUGGCGUUGGGGGAAGAGGCAUAUUUUGAACCGAGUUUGUUUUUAUUUCAAAGAAUAUCAUUCCACAGAAUUUGAAAAUUAGCGUGAAGACUGGUCUGUCCCUCCCGCUGCCCUCCCCCCAUGGAGCAGAUUUGAAAAUGAGAAACGAGAGCCUUUGCUCCGUAACUGCUGACCAAGUCAGUUCCUCCGGCUAGCUGGACUACCUGCUCCGAGAGCCGGGUUUUGCAAAGGUGCAGAAGUUCCUAUCAUUGAUACGAACUUAGGUAAAACGGGGAAGAUUUUCCAGUAGGCUCCCAAUUAUAAAAUGGGCUGAGCUUUCCUGGAGAAGUCAUGUAGUAGACUAAAUGGAGGAUUGUGGUAAGGAAAGCAUAGUCCCUUCCUCGCAGCCUGCUCCCCCCCCGCCCCCCAGACUAGUACUUUCCAAUUGAUUCCCAAAUUGCAAAGAGUAUAGAGAGGCAGAGGGCCUCGAGUGCCAACUCUUUCUUGCUCCGCCUGUGACUGGAAGGAAACCAUCGCCCCUCUCAGCCUGAGUUUGAUUGGACAAAUGAGGUGUCGGGAGCAGCGGCCACCUGACCACGUGUUCCCUGGGGCGGGGCCGAAGCAGAUUGGAACUUCUGGGGGGAAUAGUGAAAGUCAAUCUCGGCACGAUUCACAUGGAGGCAUAUGUGGCCCCCGGGGGCCCCUGGACAUGGAUCAGUGCCAAGGGUUUCUAUUUCAUUUGGGUACCUCUGAUCUCCGGGAUCUUCAAGCUCCCUGCAAACUCUUGGAUUCUGAGAUCUCUAUCCUCUCCUCCCC